rnacentral:snRNA from 1 species
GGUGUGGGAGUCUAAACCUGCCGCUAAAAUUGGAACGAUACAGAGAAGAUUAGCACGGCCCCUGCGCCAGGAUGACACGGUCAAAUCGAGAAGUGUAUCAAAACAUA